UAGGGAAUCUUCCGCAAUGGGCGAAAGCCUGACGGAGCAACGCCGCGUGAGUGAUGAAGGUCUUCGGAUCGUAAAACUCUGUUAUUAGGGAAGAACAAAUGUGUAAGUAACUAUGCACGUCUUGACGGUACCUAAUCAGAAAGCCACGGCUAACUACGUGCCAGCAGCCGCGGUAAUACGUAGGUGGCAAGCGUUAUCCGGAAUUAUUGGGCGUAAAGCGCGCGUAGGCGGUUUUUUAAGUCUGAUGUGAAAGCCCACGGCUCAACCGUGGAGGGUCAUUGGAAACUGGAAAACUUGAGUGCAGAAGAGGAAAGUGGAAUUCCAUGUGUAGCGGUGAAAUGCGCAGAGAGAUGGAGGAACACCAGUGGCGAAGGCGACUUUCUGGUCUGUAACUGACGCUGAUGUGCGAAAGCGUGGGGAUCAAACAGG
rnacentral:rRNA from 1 species